CAGGCCUAACACAUGCAAGUCGAACGGCAAGUUUUGUAGCAAUACGGAACCUAGAGUGACGUACGGGUGCGUAACACGUAUGCAACCUACCCAUAACUGGAGGAUAGCUCCCCGAAAGGGGAAUUAACCCUCCAUAGUAAGAUUGAGUGGCAUCAUUUGAUCUUUAAAACUCCGGUGGUUAUGGAUGGGCAUGCGUCUGAUUAGUUAGUUGGCGGUGUAACGGACCACCAAGACGAUGAUCAGUAGGGGAACUGAGAGGUUGAUCCCCCACACUGGCACUGAGAUACGGGCCAGACUCCUACGGGAGGCAGCAGUAGGGAAUAUUGGUCAAUGGAUGCAAGUCUGAACCAGCCAUGCCGCGUGCAGGAAGAAGGCCCUAUGGGUUGUAAACUGCUUUUGUCAGGGGAUAAAAUGGGCGUGCGCGCCUAAUUGAAGGUACCUGGCGAAUAAGCCACGGCUAACUACGUGCCAGCAGCCGCGGUAAUACGUAGGUGGCAAGCGUUGUCCGGAUUUAUUGGGUUUAAAGGGUGCGUAGGCGGUCCUAUAAGUCAGUGCUGAAAUAUCCCGGCUUAACCGGGAGGGUGGCAUUGAUACUGUAGGACUUGAGUAAAGUUGAGGUUGGCGGAAUUGACGGUGUAGCGGUGAAAUGCUUAGAUAUCGUCAAGAACACCUAUUGCGAAGGCAGCUAACUAAGCUUUAACUGACGCUGAGGCACGAAAGUGUGGGGAUCAAACAGGAUUAGAUACCCUGGUAGUCCACACUGUAAACGUUGAUUACUCGCUGUUGGCGAUACACAGCCAGCGGCCAAGCGCAAGCGAUAAGU
rnacentral:rRNA from 1 species